rnacentral:tRNA from 1 species
GCACUCUUAGCUCAGUUGGUAGAGCAACUGACUCUUAAUCAGUGGGUCUAGGGUUCGAGCCCCUAAGAGUGUA